rnacentral:lncRNA from 1 species
UGACGCUCAGCGUAGAGCGAGUUGUCUUUCAGGAUAAUCAUUUGACGGCUGGAUUCUGUAAGAAGUGGACGCAAGAUAGGUGUGGUGAAGUCGCAAGGCCAAACAUUUCUUUCAGUCCGGAACCAAAUAUGUCUUGUCUGUCAAAGAUUCAACUCCCUACCUCUAAUGGUCUAGGAAGAGACAGAGGGAAUUACUAACGCACAGACCCACGGACGGGCAGAAGAACAUGAUCCUCGACUUGUGUCUCAAAAGGGGGUAAAGAUGCAAAGCUCCUUUGCAGUGAUGCUGUAGAAUGCACAUGCGACUGAUAGAAACUUGUCCAGCCUUCUGUCCCUGUUUGGAACCGGACACACACGCAUGCACUCACACGCACGCAAGCUAUAUAGUGAAAAUAGCGUAUGCUUUUACUGUGAUUUGUAAACCAUUUUAACUUAUAAGCCUACAUAUUUUCAUAUAUUAAAAUGGUGCUUAGAAUCACCGUGUUCUUUUCGUGUCAAUUUUACCCUGAAAACACUUUUGUUUUAAAAUUAUACCCAAACUAUUGACAGUGACCUUUUUUUUCCAAAUUAUACCCAAGAGCGAGCUAGGAUGCAUCUGUUUCUGCCAGAUUUUGUUAUGUACAUGUGUAAUGAUUUAGAUCCAAGUGUUAGAAAUAUAAUAAUGUAAUGUUCAAAGUGUGAGCACAUCCCAACUUUCAAACUGCAUCGUAAGAUGAAACUUGUAAGCUUGUCGGGUUUGUAUAUCAAAUUGAUUACUACCGCAUCAGUUGAUAUUGUUCUUUACAUUGUAGAAGUUACUUUAUCUAUUUAUUUUUGUUGUUAUUUCUAUAUGUUAUUUGACAGUCAUGAAUGACAUACAGUUUUGUCUGAAUAAAUGUGCUUGCCAAGGGGAGUUUUCAAUUUCAUAAAAGUAAUAAUAUUAUUAAUAUCAAUGUUUCCUGAAUUUUCAGAACCUAAAAUCUGUAAAAUCCUACCAAAUGUGUUUUUAUCCUUAAUUAGAAUAGAU